UACGUAGGGUGCGAGCGUUGUCCGGAAUUACUGGGCGUAAAGAGCUCGUAGGUGGUUUGUCGCGUUGUUCGUGAAAACUCACAGCUCAACUGUGGGCGUGCGGGCGAUACGGGCAGACUAGAGUACUGCAGGGGAGACUGGAAUUCCUGGUGUAGCGGUGGAAUGCGCAGAUAUCAGGAGGAACACCGGUGGCGAAGGCGGGUCUCUGGGCAGUAACUGACGCUGGAGGAGCGAAAGCCGUGGGGAGCGAACAGG
rnacentral:rRNA from 1 species